rnacentral:rRNA from 1 species
UGAACGCUGGCGGCGUGCUUAACACAUGCAAGUCGUACGAGAAAGCUUCUGCUUGCAGAGGCGAGUAAAGUGGCGCACGGGUGAGUAACGCGUGGGUAAUCUACCCUUGAAUUGGGGAUAACAUUGCGAAAGCGAUGCUAAUACCGGAUAACAUCCAUUUUUUUUCGGAUUGAUGGAUCAAAGAUGGCCUCUUCUUGAAAGCUAUUGUUUGAGGAUGAGCCCGCGUACCAUUAGCUUGUUGGUGGGGUAAUGGCCUACCAAGGCUACGAUGGUUAGCUGGUCUGAGAGGAUGAUCAGCCACACUGGAACUGACACACGGUCCAGACUCCUACGGGAGGCAGCAGUGAGGAAUUUUGCGCAAUGGGGGAAACCCUGACGCAGCAACGCCGCGUGAGUGAUGAAGGCUUUAGGGUCGUAAAGCUCUGUCAAGUGGGAAGAAAAUGCAUUUGGUUAAUAUCCCUAUGUACUGACGGUACCACUGAAGGAAGCACCGGCUAACUCC